rnacentral:rRNA from 1 species
ACGAACGCUGGCGGCAGGCUUAACACAUGCAAGUCGAGCGCGUAGCAAUACGAGCGGCAGACGGGUGAGUAACGCGUGGGAAUCUACCCAACCCUACGGAAUAACGCAUGGAAACGUGUGCUAAUACCGUAUACGCCCUUUGGGGGAAAGAUUUAUCGGGGAUGGAUGAGCCCGCGUUGGAUUAGCUAGUUGGUGGGGUAAAGGCCUACCAAGGCGACGAUCCAUAGCUGGUCUGAGAGGAUGAUCAGCCACAUUGGGACUGAGACACGGCCCAAACUCCUACGGGAGGCAGCAGUGGGGAAUAUUGGACAAUGGGCGCAAGCCUGAUCCAGCCAUGCCGCGUGAGUGAUGAAGGCCCUAGGGUUGUAAAGCUCUUUCACCGGUGAAGAUAAUGACGGUAACCGGAGAAGAAGCCCCGGCUAACUUCGU